rnacentral:rRNA from 1 species
ACUACAUGAAGCUGGAAUCGCUAGUAAUCGCGGAUCAGAAUGCCGCGGUGAAUACGUUCCCGGGUCUUGUACACACCGCCCGUCACACCAUGGGAGUCGGAAAUGCCCGAAGCCGGUGACCCAACCAAAAGGAGGGAGCCGUCGAAGGCAGGUCUGAUAACUGGGGUGAAGUCGUAACAAGGUAGC